UUUAUGCCAAUCCCUAAAUUCUUGAAAACAUGAGUUUACAAUGAAAACACUAACAGAUGCUCAGUGGUAGAAAGCAGAGGAGUGGUUGCCAUGGAAUCAGAUGGCAGGGAAGGUAGCUCACUUUUUAAACUCACUGGCAGCGAACACGUAGCACCAACAAGUGGACAGCAAUGCUGGCAGACAUUUAUCUCUGCACAGCACUUGGAAGGGCUGCGUGGAGGCUACUGCUGUGACCCAGCACUGGAAACUGGGAUAACCAGGGAAAAGCUGAGCAUCAGCAGCUCUACAGACAUUGACAACAGAAAGACCUAAAAAAUGCAAGGAAAUGCAGAAUAAGUUGAAGCGAGGAAACAAAAAGGGCAAAGUGUAGCCUUGAACAUUGUGGCCUGCUGGACAAAUUUCCUGGGAAGUAUAACUGAAAAACUGGAGCUCUUAAAAACCUAUUAUCUGCAAAGAGACACAAGGGUAAAGAAAAAACUCAUCAUUACAGUUGAAUCUCUGUAAGUCAGUUAUUGUUUCUAUUGUACUUUCAAUGCACCACCUUAACA
rnacentral:lncRNA from 1 species